rnacentral:rRNA from 1 species
AGUGGGGAAUAUUGCACAAUGGGCGCAAGCCUGAUGCAGCCAUGCCGCGUGUGUGAAGAAGGCCUUCGGGUUGUAAAGCACUUUCAGCAGUGAGGAAGGCAGUAAGUUUAAUACGCUUAUUGUUUGACGUUAGCUGCAGAAGAAGCACCGGCUAACUCCGUGCCAGCAGCCGCGGUAAUACGGAGGGUGCGAGCGUUAAUCGGAAUUACUGGGCGUAAAGCGCAUGCAGGUGGUUUGUUAAGUCAGAUGUGAAAGCCCGGGGCUCAACCUCGGAAGGCCAUUUGAAACUGGCAAACUAGAGUACUGUAGAGGGGGGUAGAAUUUCAGGUGUAGCGGUGAAAUGCGUAGAGAUCUGAAGGAAUACCGGUGGCGAAGGCGGCCCCCUGGACAGAUACUGACACUCAGAUGCGAAAGCGUGGGGAGCAAA